rnacentral:rRNA from 1 species
GAUCCUAGCUCAGGACGAACGCUGGCGGCGCGCCUAACACAUGCAAGUCGAACGAGAGAGAAGGAGCUUGCUUCUUCGAUCGAGUGGCGAACGGGUGAGUAACGCGUGAGGAACCUGCCUCAAAGAGGGGGACAACAGUUGGAAACGACUGCUAAUACCGCAUAAGCCCACGGGUCGGCAUCGAUCUGAGGGAAAAGGAGCAAUCCGCUUUGAGAUGGCCUCGCGUCCGAUUAG